rnacentral:rRNA from 1 species
CCUACGGGGGGCUGCAGCAACGAAUCUUCCCCAAUGGGCGAAAGCCUGAGGGAGCGACGCCGCGUGAGGAUGAAGUACUUCGGUAUGUAAACUUAUGUAAGGGACCUAUCCAAGAUGCUAAAGGGGCGGCUAACUCUGUGCCAGCAGCCGCGGUAAUACAGAGGCCCCAAGCGUUACUGAGAAUCACUGGGUUUAAAGGGUGCGUAGGUGGCGCGUUAAGUCCGUUGUGAAAUCCCUUGGCUCAACCAAGGAAAUGCUUCGGAUACUGGCGUGCUUGAGGCUAGUAGGGGUCACUGGAACUGACGGUGGAGCGGUGAAAUGCGUAGAUAUCGUCAGGAACGCCGAUGGUGAAGACAGGUGACUGGCUGUUCUGACACUGAGGCACGAAAGCGUGGGGAGCGAACGGGAUUAGAUACCCUUGUAGUC